rnacentral:tRNA from 1 species
GCGGACGUGGCGAAACCGGUAGACGCAGCGGACUUAAAAUCCGUUUUCCUCGGAAGUGGGGGUUCGAGUCCCCCCGUCCGCACCA